AUGAAUAAAAAAUUAACUAAUCUUGAUGUGAACAAUAACUCUGAUAAUUUUUCUAAAUGCGACACAUCUAGCACCGCAGGAAUGUCUGACGUGUGUGAUAGUUCUAUUAAUGAUCACAAAACUGACGAUACAUGUAGCGACAAACAUGCAUCUAGUAGUUAUUAUACACAAAGUGAUGAACACAUAACUGAUAGUGAGUAUACAAAUAGUGAUAAUCAUAUAUGUAGUAGUGAAUCCAAUAAUGAGGACACAUCUAACAAUAAUGAUAAGUCUAGUGUUGAUAGAAAUAUGUCAACUGACAGAGACACGUUUGACGACGACAGUGGCUCGGUCAGUUCAAUGUUAACUCAAUUUUCGUCUAAUUCAGAAUCUUAUAGCUUAUCAAAUGAAGAUUUUCAAAAAUAUACAGAUACAUGUUUAAUGACUGAUGAUAAUUUAAAAAACAGUAUAAAUGAAAGGAAUAAUGUCAGUAUUGACAAGGAACUAAACGAAUAUUUAAAACAUUCCCAAAAAAAAAGCACAUCAAAAGAAAAAAAAGAAGUGAUUCAAAUUAGUAGCGAUAGUAAUGCUUUAAGCUCACACGAUCCUGUUAUUAGCAAUAAUAAGUAUUCGAAUACAUACAAAAGUCAAGUAAAUUCAGAUUUAAUAGAAAAAAGAAAAAAUAAAAUAAAGAUGUUAAUUAACAAAUACGUAAGUAUUAACGGCAGCUAUGAAAACAGUUGUAGUGAUUAUUCAAUAGAAGACUAUAAAACAAAUAGUUCAGAUAGUAGUACACAUGCCAUUUCUAGCGAACCUAAAAUAAAGCAAACAGUUGAGUUGACUCCUGUUGAAGAUAACGAAGAAAAAAAAAAAAAAAUAUACAUAAACAAAAAUGUUAAACAGAAAGAAAUGGUUAAUAAAAUUGAAUAUUUAGAAACUGAUACAAAUACAAAUAAAAAACAAAAUUUUGAUAAAUUGAACAAACAUAUAGAAAAAGAGUUAGCAAAAAUAAAUAUAAACGUUCUAUUUUUAAAUAAAAUAACACAAACUAAUUUACCUUGUACGCACAUAAUAAAAAAAAAAAAUGAAAAACUCAAUAAA
rnacentral:lncRNA from 1 species